ensembl:lncRNA
GUAAGUUGCAGACACUUUGUUCUGAUAGGUUUAAAUUGCUGCCCUUCAAAGAGCAGGGUAGGGUUUUUACAGCAGCGGUGGGUUAUGGGAGUCUGAGGCCACAGACACGCUCUGCAGUGGUCGUUUCUGAGGGUGUGGGUUUGGUGGGUCCGCCCGGGCCGCUUCUUCCGUCGGUCUGCGGCGAGUCAGUCUGAAACAGUUCGCGUCUAUCCGGCGGCAUUGAGUCUUGGUCCUUCGCCGGAGUGUCAGGCUCAGGGGUCCCAGCCAGUGAGGGUGACAGUUUGGAUUGGCCUCGGGAGCGCAGCCUGGCCCGUCCCUGAAUCCCAGUAUUGGGUUCUGGGUGUCCCAAAAUCCCGCGUGAUGGUGAAGGCGCUGGGGCUCGGGUAGGACUGGCUCGGAAUUUCAUCUUGGCCGAUCUCCUCGGUGGAGAUGCACACCCUCGCUGAACCUCGCGGGUAGAGGGCCGUGGCGUGGGAUUGUUCACAUUCGUGCAGUAGAGUUUUUAGCCGUUAAUGAAGGGUCUCUGCCUCCGUUAUUCGGAGGGUCCAGGAGGCAGUGAUGGGGGCCAGCUGGCCAGGGUUCCCUUCCCCAGGUCCCUGGAAAUCAAGCAGAAGCUCCACCGCAGCAGGCGUCCUGGCCCUUGACGACGAUGCCCGAUGCUUCAGUGACUCAUGCUGCUAUUUUUGGUGCUGCUGCUCUCAAGAUCAGAUCUGUUCCCAGUUCCACACUUGUCUACCCAGCUGCCUCCUCGACGUCUACGCUUGGAUGGCAAAUGGACUUCGCAAUGUGUUCAAAUCAGAGCUCCCAACAUGCUCCCCUGAAGCUGUUCUUCCCUUGACUUCCCUCUUGUCAGUGGCCUCACUAUUCUUGGGCUGGUUCACGCU